AUGCCGCAUAAGUUUCUUCUUGAACGUGUACAACUACGCGGAUUCGCCAAGUAUCACGACAUCCGGAGCCCUCAGAUACGUCAACUUCAACUACCGUCACAAGAACCGGGAGUCCGAAGACCCCAAGUACCACGACAUCUUUGGGAGAAUCGUGAACAUCAAGUUCCUCUGCCACAAACGGUUACAGUGUUGUGGAUCCGGCAAGUACCCUUUCCGGAUCGUUGA
rnacentral:rRNA from 1 species